GCGGGAGUAGCUCAUUUGGUAGAGCGCAGCCUUGCCAAGGCUGAGGUGGCGGGUUCGAGCCCCGUUUCCCGCUCCA
rnacentral:tRNA from 2 species